UGUGUGAGCAUGUGUGUGUGUGUGUGUGUGUGUGUGUGUGUGUGUGAAGGUGCUCUAGUGCUAAGCAGAGAACAGUAAGGUGUGUAAGCCGAUCUAAACUGUGGGCAAUCCAGAGAGAGAAGGACUAAAUAUCGACAGCAGCAGCGUAGCUUUCACUGCUGCCAUCCCCCCGUGCGUGUGCGUGUGUGUGUGUGUGUGUGUGUGUGUGUGUGUGCGCGCGUGUGGUUUUGUGUGGUAAAAGAGCAGCUAUAAAAAGACUAGAGUUACUGAACCCAAGGUGGGAUGAAAAGAAGGAGAAAGAACAACAAUAGCUGAUAUAUACUUACACACACACACACUGCAGGGUGCCCUUUGACCCCGUCAGCUGCCGCCGAGCUUGCUUUGGGCUACGUGCCGCGCGACAGGUGAGCAGGCUAACGGACGGCCGCCCGGGAUAGCUGGCACGCCUCGCAUUUCGCACACACGCUCACACACACCGACAAAGGGGGUUAAAAGCAUUCAUACGUACAUACAUACACACAGGCAUAAGGUCAGGGCCGGGCCGGGGCCAAAGCACACACACACGCACACGCACGCACACACACGCACACACCAGUCCUUGCAUUCCUGCAUAUGUCAGUCGUAUAAUUAAAAGGCUCGCACCUCUUUUGUCACUCUCACUGUGACACACUCACUGAUCCCCGUGCAAGUCGGCUGUGUGGAAAACAUUUAAAUACUUAUAAUUUAUAUCAGGCUCUUUAUCUUUAGAUGAUUGACUUGACUGUCUUUCCUAACGGACUUCGUUCAAACACAUACAGCGGGCUCAGCUGCAUUAGCUAUUAGCUCUGUUUACUGUAUUAGCCCCUUGUUAGCUCUGUACCAUGUAUUAGACUGUGUUAGCCGUUAGCUUUGUUCACUGUAUAAACUCCUGUUAGCUAUUAGCUCUGUGCCAUUUAUUAGACUGUGUUAGCCGUUAGCUUUGUUCGCUGUAUUAUCUCCUGUUAGCUGUUAGCUCUGUGCCAUUUAUUAGACUGUGUAAGCCGU
ensembl:lncRNA